CACGCAUGACACACUGCAUAUCAAUAAGCGGAGGAAAAGAAACUAACAAGGAUUCCCUUAGUAACGGCGAGUGAAGCGGGAAGAGCUCAAAUUUGAAAUCUUCAAGGUUCUACCUUGACGAAUUGUAGUUUAAAGAAGUGUUUUCUGUUAGUGGAGUGGCAAAAGUUCUCUGGAAUAGGACAUCAUAGAGGGUGAGAAUCCCGUAUUUGGUCAUUCCUUCUAGCGUUGUGAUACACUUUCAAAGAGUCGGAUUGUUUGGGAAUGCAGUCCAAAAUGGGUGGUAAAUUUCAUCUAAAGCUAAAUAUUAGCGAGAGACCGAUAGCGAACAAGUACCGUGAGGGAAAGAUGAAAAGAACUUUGAAAAGAGAGUUAAACAGUAUGUGAAAUUGUCAAAAGGGAAGCGUUUGACACCAGUGUUGUUUUCUCGAAAAUCAAUUAAAAAGUGUUGGAUUUUGUAUUGUUAAGACCUUAUCAGCUUACUGUACUCUUUUCCUGCUCUUUUAAUGCACUUUUCGUUUAACAAGUCAACAUCAAUUUCUUUUGUUGUAAAAGAGUCAUUGGAAGGUGGCUUUCACUUCGGUGAAAGUGUUUAUAGCCUUUGGCUUCUGCAAUCGGAGAGAUUGAGGUCUGCAGCGUAGAUCCUUCGGGGCUAGAUACGUAGAUGCUAAGUUAUAGUUUUUUAUAGACAACUUGUUGACUAUGAUUAAUCAUGUAGCUUACUCGUUUGCGCUAUUUUACCUACGCUUAGGAUGUUGAUAGUCACAGCGUGUAC
rnacentral:rRNA from 1 species